rnacentral:lncRNA from 1 species
GAAUAGAUUAUUAUCAGUAUUAAUAUCACAAUAUAGUGAGAAUAAAUUGAAAAUAAUGCGACAAUUUUUCGAAAAGUUGUUGCCUGGCACCCGCAGGGCUAGAGUGACUAUUGCCGAAUGGCAACAAGUUUGAGAAACAAACUGGAGCAUUAUAUGUUGUAUAUUUGUAUUUAUUCUUGCUAUCGUGUGAUAUUCAAAAGAUUAUUUUUUAAUACUCAUAUACAAAAUUCAAGUCUUUGUUAACAUUUAUUUUAUUGUAUUAAUAUUAUUACAAAAAAUCGUGAUUGAUAAAAAUAUUGAAUAAGUUUGGCGGUUUUAUUCCACAUUGUUUUAAUCACCGCUUCUUUAUAGUCUUCACCAUUACACCUUUUCAUAUUGAAUGCCCAGUCUAUUAGGCCUGGAUCCCGCGUACCAAAAAAAAGUUUAUUAAUAGCAAGCUGAAAAUUUGUUAAUAGCUUAACGGUGUCUAGUCGGACAAAAUUUGAUGUACAGGAACACUGAAACAGGGGAAGUUUUAGGUGGAGUUUAAAUUUUGUGGAACAUGUUACAGGUUUCGAACUUCACACUCAGACUGCGAAAAAGCCCCAUGUAUUUUGUCGGACAGAACUUCCAAUUGAACCACUUAUUGUAUAAAGGGAAUAAGUCCACCUCCGUACGAAAUUAAAGUGAGAUAUACAUUUUGUCAAACCAACGUCGACGGAUCGAUGAGUCUAUAAAGGAAAUUUGUAUGUCUCACCGUACGCGAAGUAUCGCACGAUAAAGUUUUUGUUGGCCGUAUAAAGGGAACUAGUCCGGGACUGAUUACCUUUAUACAAUAAUUCUUGUGGCACCACCAUCGUUUGUGGCACUUUGUCGUUUAUUUUAUUACUUCGGUUAGCUUAGGUUAGUUAGUCUUACGAUGUAUUUUAGGUCUUGUUUGUAAUAAUAAACCUUUUUUUUUUUAAUAAAUUAAUAAUUUAACUGUAGAGAAGCAGCACUAUUUUGUCUUUUAUUCAUUAAUUGUAGAAAGGAAUCAAGUCCCAGCCUUUAAAAACGACUUUUUGACGUUAAUCGUUUUCAAAGCCAAGUUUGCUGUAUCACAUGUCACUCUACUAGUCUCCUUCUACAUUUCAUCUGUAGAACAAAAUUUGAUAGAUCA